rnacentral:lncRNA from 1 species
AAGAUCAUCAUAAUAAAAAUCUAACAUCUCAAUCAAAGUAAAAUUACAAGUCUUCAUCACUUGCACAUUUUUCCCUUUCCUUUGCUAGACGAAGGUUCAUCUACCGUCUCUUCUUUAGCUGAAAUGAGUUUUAAAAUAUGCAAGGAUACAAUAUGAAAUCAACAGGAGUAUAGUAAUAAUAACUGCCAAUAAUAGGCUCAUCAACAAUGAAUAGUAUUUUAUCAUCAAUAAUUAGAAACUAAAAUCCAAAAUGUAGAAUAACUAUAACUGAGGGUCAUAAGACCAUGAACUAUGUCACAGUUGCGAGUAAUCUUUCAACUCCAACUUUAACAGUCAUAAGACUAUAAGGACUCCUCGUACUUAGAGGGAUCAGCCCUUCGUACCAUGUAUUGUGCACAAACAUUUAACGUUACACGUAAGUUAUCCCCUAAUAAUAAUAGGGUUGUUCAUCUCAGUAUUUGGAGUACAAGUCCGCACCAAAGAGAGUAUGGUUUGGAUAAGCUUUCAAGGGUAAUUUGAAGUUCAACGAUCAUCAACUAGAGGACUAGUUGAAUUAAUAACAUCAUAUUACAGAAUAAUCGUAAUUGAAUCAACAUGGUAAACCAAAUCAUGCUUUAGGAAUAAUCUAAUAGCAUAUAUUUUGAAUAAUUAUAACAUGCCUUGCUUGAACAAUAUUAAGUCAAGGUUAAAUUAGAAUUGGGUACUAAGCAUGCAUAACAGUUUGAACGAUGAAAUUGCUCAACAUUAAUAUAAAUAGUUGUGGAUGCUAGACAACAAGUUAAAUACAAGAAUAACUUGUCAACAUUAAACCAAAGUUUAGAAAGCUUGCAUCAUUCAUAAGGUAAUCGAAUUGAAACAAUAAAUAGUUCAACAAGAUAAAGAAUUAGAAAUCUUGCAUUAUUAUAUUAGGAACAAUAAUUGAUUCCAAUUACAAAAGUAGAGUAAGAGAACUUGCUCAAUGUAAAAAGAAAGUUUAGAAAACUUGCCUUGCUCGUAGGCUAAACCAAAUCAAUACGAAUCACAAUAUCCUAUAAACAUAUGUCAUCAUGACAUAAUUAGUCAUUACCAUCUUACAAACAUAACUAAGUACGUUCAUCAUUUAAAAUUGGAUUUUUAAUCACAUAAUCGAGUUAUAACACAAGUUAAUUGUUAAUAACAUACUUAUUCAUAGUAUAGAAAUACUAAAAUCAACAUUUAGCAGUCCUACUAUCAUCACAUAACUUUUCAUAAAAUUUCGUGUACAAAAAGUACACUGUCAGACCAUUCUGCUAACUCGCGCCGCGGCGCCACAGUUUACACUGUGGGUCGUGCUGCGGCAUGAGCAUGGCGCUGCGGCGCGGUGAAUAAGGCUACAAGGCCGCGUUGCGGCGUGGUGCUGGCGCUGCGGCGCGAAACUACUACUGCUGGGACGCGCCGCGGCGCGAAACUGCAGUUUCGACUGACAAGCUUCGACAACAGUGCAGGAAAAAGCCAAUUUUGGCCUACAAGUUCAUUUCUAACAGACUGAUUUACAUAUAAUUCAUACAAAACUUCAUGUAAACAUAAUUCAAGGAUUCCUAACAUGUUUCUACUCAUAUAACAACAUAAACAACAAAAUUAACACACCCAAUUUCAUUGUUUUUGGCUAAAACUCAUUUUUUUGAUAUUUUUAAAGAAAACAACCACUGUAAUUUUGUUUUUAGCUGUGUAUUUUGAUUGGUGAUUUAUUGUGACGCCCCCAAAACAGGUAUACAUCACCCAUCUUGAGUCGCCAAAUACAUGGUACAUAAAUUCAAAUACAACUUAAUUAUACAACAGUCGUGUAAAAUACGACAACAUAGCAGAGAGUUUAAACAAGAAUAUUGUCAUCUAGACAAUAUCCACACUCAAUGGUGUCCUCAUUACAAUUAUUAUCACAUUAUUCCGUAGAAUAGUGAGGACUACUAAAGCCAUUUAUCCUGGACCAUCACUCCAUUCCCCUACUCGUUCCAGCUAUAUUCUCAUUUCCUGAAAAGAACAAUGAAAGAAAGGGUGAGCUCAACUAGCCCAGUAAGAAAUAUUAUGACUAAGAUAAUGUAGAAUAAAUUAUCCUUAGCCUUCAACAGUAUAACAACUGAUAGAAUACAAUAGACAACAAGUUUUAGAUCAACAACUGCAGCGAAAAUAAGUAAUCCAUUAGAAGAGUCAAGUAGAGCAUAAAAUCUACUAUCUUCUAUGAUUUAAAAAGUUUUUCAUCAACUUUAUCGCUGAGACUCAGCGCUUAAAAAAAAUAAACCACAUCAUCGAAUCAUCCUUGCACCACGGCCAAGGAUAUUCAUUAAAUCAUCAAUGGUCAUGACUAUAGCGAAUAAUCCCUAGUCAUAAUCAUACCAAAAACUGUCCAUCAAUGCACUACAGGCCAAUGAGGACUUUUACCACAUCAUUCGUCACAUUACGGUCAUGAUUAUACCGAAUAAUCCCUGGUCAUAAUCAUACCAAGUCCAUCUAUGCACGUAAGCCAAAGAUGACUUUCAUCACAAUAUAAGCAUGAGGAUGAUGACAAUGACAUAAUAAUUCAAUAAAACAAGUUCAAGGAUAAAUUUUAAAGAUUUAUAAUUUAAUUUAUUCAGGAAUCAAUAACGUCCAAAUUGUCAACAUGAUACUGCUUUGUGGAGUAAAAUUCAAGAAUAAUAUUCAUGUACCAAAAAUAAUUUGGACAUAAAAGAAAUAUAUUUUUCGGCUGAAUAGUACCCCGUGAAUAGUACCCCGACACAAAAAGUGUACCGAAUACCCGAGUGAAUGAUACUAAAGUGAAUAGUAAUUAGGUGAAUAGUAAGUAACUCGUGAAUAGUACUCUGACAUGAAAAGUACCCUGAAUACCCGAGUGAAUAAUACCAGAGUGAAUAGUAACUGGGUGAAUAGUAACCUGUGAAUAGUAACUCGUAAAAAAAAUACCAAAGAAAAUGAUAUUUCAUGACGAGUACAAAAGAAAUGAUAUCCCAGAUGAGUAUAAUUGAAUAUACGAAACUGCAAAUGGAUUUUCACCCGUCAUGCGGUAAUCCACGUAGACAGAUCAUUUCCACAAUUUAAUAAAGAAUGAAUACGAAGGAUCAUUCACCAUGCAUGCGGUAAUCUACAUAGACAGGUUAUUCCAGCAGAAUAAUAAAAAAUGGAAUAACAAGAGGAUUCACAAUGCGUGCGAUAGACUGCACAGACAGGUUAUUCCCAACAGAAUAAUAAAUAAUGGAACCAGGUCCGGCGUAAACGCACAGACAGGUUCUCCAUGAUCUCUGCCGACUGCAUGCAGGCUGUCACCUUUUUCAUGCACUGUUUGUACCGCCGGCCGGCUAUAAUCCCAUCCACAUUAAUGAUUUGCAGACUACUCGGUCAACAGCCUUACUUUUUCAUCAUUACAAGUCAAAGAUAGAGAUAUUAAAAUAUCCAACGGGUCAAUCCACUGACCCGACCCGAUUUUAUAAGGGCCUAACAGGAAAAAGAUGGUGACCAAGUCCGAUAACUUUAGGACCCAAUAGAGAAGACUCAAUGGACUAACCA